rnacentral:rRNA from 1 species
UGCAAGUCGAACGCGAAAGUGGAGCAAUCCAUGAGUAGAGUGGCAAACGGGUGAGUAACACGUGGGUGACCUGCCUUCGAGCGGGGGAUAACGUCCCGAAAGGGACGCUAAUACCGCAUAACAUCCUGCCUUUUAAGAGGUGGAGAUCAAAGCCGGGGAUCGCAAGACCUGGCACUUGAAGAGGGGCCCGCGCCUGAUUAGCUAGUUGGUGGGGUAAUGGCUCACCAAGGCAACGAUCAGUAUCCGGCCUGAGAGGGCGGACGGACACACUGGGACUGAGACACGGCCCAGACUCCUACGGGAGGCAGCAGUGGGGAAUUGUUCGCAAUGGGCGCAAGCCUGACGACGCAACGCCGCGUGGAGGAUGAAGACCUUCGGGUCGUAAACUCCUUUCGACCGAGAUGAAUUCCCGCCGACCUAACACGUCGGCGGGGUGACAGUAUCGAGGGAAGCAGCCCCGGCUAACUCCGUGCCAGCAGCCGCGGUAAUACGGGGGGGGCAAGCGUUGUUCGGAAUUACUGGGCGUAAAGGGUUCGUAGGUGGCCAACUAAGUCAGACGUGAAAUCCCUCAGCUUAACUGGGGAACUGCGUCUGAGACUGGAUGGCUUGAGUGCAGGAGAGGAACGCGGAAUUCCAGGUGUAGCGGUGAAAUGCGUAGAUAUCUGGAGGAACACCGGUGGCGAAGGCGGCGUUCUGGACUGCAACUGACACUGAGGAACGAAAGCCAGGGGAGCAAACGGGAUUAGAUACCCCGGUAGUCCUGGCCCUAAACGAUGAAUGCUUGGUGUGGCGGGUAUCGAUCCCUGCCGUGCCGAAGUUAACGCGAUAAGCAUUCCGCCUGGGGAGUACGGUCGCAAGGCUG